AUCUACAACCAUACUACCCUGAAUGUGCCUGAUGUCGUCUGAUUGCAGAAGCCAAGCAAGGUCAGGCCUGGUUAGUAGAUG
rnacentral:rRNA from 1 species